rnacentral:rRNA from 1 species
GACGAACGCUGGCGGCGUGCUUAACACAUGCAAGUGGAGCGACGAACCGGGGCUUGCCCCGGGGCAGAGCCGCGAACGGGUGAGUAACACGUGGGUAACCUGCCUCAAUGAUUGGGACAACCCGGGGAAACUCGGGCUAAUACCAAAUGUGUUCACUCCUUCUAAGGGGAGUGAGGAAAGGAAGCUUCGGCCUCCGCAUUGAGAUGGGCCCGCGGCCCAUUAGCUUGUGGUGAGGUAACGGCUCACCAAGGCUUCGAUGGUAGCUGGUCUGAGAGGACGAUCAGCCACACUGGGACUGAGACACGGCCCAGACUCCUACGGGAGGCAGCAGUGGGGAAUCUUGCACAAUGCGCGAAAGCGUGAUGCAGCAACGCCGCGUGGGGAAGACGG